GCCAACCUUGAAAUACCACCCUUUAAUGUUUGAUGUUCUAACGUUGGCCCCUGACCGGGGUUGCGGACAGUGUCUGGUGGGUAGUUUGACUGGGGCGGUCUCCUCCCAAAGCGUAACGGAGGAGCACU
rnacentral:rRNA from 1 species